CUUCUGUCUUAGGCUGAAGGGAGAUUCAGAUUCAUCACUGACUCGCGACUGUUGUUCUUCCCACUUCCAGGAUCACCCACGGGCCGUUCAAAGCCCCCGGCGCCGGUGGCCGCAGAUCGCAGAAUCGCGGUUUUGAGCCCGAAAAUGGCGGUGAAGAAGAAGAGGUUGCUGACGGCGAUAGCACUGUUAGUGGUGGCGAGCAAUGUAGAGCAGUCGGUUCAGCUCAAGUCGAAUCACCCGCUUCACAGCGCGGUAGACAGAAUCAACCAGAACGGAGGGCCUUAUAUUGGAAUGCUUAUGGCUUACUCUACCGAAGAAUCCGCCCUUCUCGACUCCGGCCUCUUCUUCCCCAGCUCCGACCUCCCUUCCGUCGACUUCUCCGGGAGGAGAUUCAACAUUGGCAAGAUUAGGGAUGUUGAUGUAAUCUAUGUUAUGACUGGUCAGCAAACGUUAAAUGCAGGAAUCACUGUGCAAAUGCUUGUUGGUGCCUUUGAUGUCAAGGGAAUUGUUUUUUAUGGGACUGCUGGAAGUGCCAAUGACUCACUUAACAUUGGCGAUGUUAGCGUGCCAAAAUAUGUCGCUUAUACUGCUUCUUGGAAAUGGAAGGAAUUUCGCUCGGAGAAAGGAGGCUUGGCAGAGCUGGAGUUUGGGGCCUAUAAUUUCCCAACAAAGGGAGAUAAUUUAUUCGCAAAAGUAGAAUUCACACCACAAGAAGUUUACUCAAAUGGACAGCCAAUGGAAGAGCUAUUUUGGCUUGAAGUUGAACCAAAAUGGUUUGUUCUUGCCUCUCAGCUCCAGAUAAUUCUGGUGCUAAAAUGUUGGAGACAACUUGUACAGAACAUGGAGCUGCUCCAAUGCGUUAAUGAGACUCACUGCCUUCCUGAAAUGCCAAAGGUUGUUUAUGGAUUGAGAGCUUCCACUGCUGAUAUAUUCCUUGACAACGCAGCCUAUAGAAAGUUUCUUUUCGAUGAAUUCAAUGUUUCAACUGUGGAUGAGGAGAGUUCUGCAAUUGUAAUGGCAUCCUUAACAAAUGGAGUGCCUUGCAUUGUGUUCCGGGGUGUGUCGGAUUUGGCUGGGGCAGGGCCGGAGAAGUUCAGGUCAAGCAGCCUGAGUUCUUUGGCAUCUGCCAACGCGUUUAGUGUUGCUGUUGAGUUCCUCGGACUAAUUGGGCCGGCAGAUCAGACUCAAGACCACUGGAACUUGAAGCUGCAGCAGCAAUAACCACUAAUUCAAGGUCUGUGGAAUAUGUGUUGCUUCAUGUUCAAAACAGGAAAGGGGAAGUGACUGCAUCUGCCCUGGCCUAUUUGUGAUGCCUCUUUCAUGUACGUAGAAGAUUGGAUCUGGGGACAAAGAAAAUCUUGUGUUUGAAGGAAAGUGACGUCCAGAAAGAACAAUGGAUCGUGUGUGAGAGAGAGAUACGGCAGCCAUGAAUGCCGUGGGGCUGAUAAGAGACAGCUCUGUCUAGUCGCUAUCCUUGUAUAAAUAAGUUACUGUUCAUCUUCCGUUCCAUUUGUACUGAGCAUACUACUGGCCUGCCUACCUACCUGGACCUGGCAUCUGACCAUUCCGUCCAAAUUAAAAAGGGUAAAUUUUAUCGCGGCCCUUGCCAUUUAGAUCAUUCUUAUAAUGGCAU